rnacentral:rRNA from 1 species
AUUGUCCUACGGGGGGCAGCAGUGGGGAAUAUUGCACAAUGGGGGAAACCCUGAUGCAGCAACGCCGCGUGAGUGAUGACGGCCUUCGGGUUGUAAAGCUCUAUCAGCAGGGAAGAAAAUGACGGUACCUGAGUAAGAAGCCCCGGCUAACUACGUGCCAGCAGCCGCGGUAAUACGUAGGGGGCAAGCGUUAUCCGGAUUUACUGGGUGUAAAGGGAGCGUAGACGGCAGUGCAAGUCUGGAGUGAAAGGCGGGGGCUCAACCCCCGGACUGCUCUGGAAACUGUACGGCUGGAGUGCAGGAGG